UGAAGUCAUUACAGUGGGCAGUUCCCAGCUACAUGCAGGCAGGAGCGAGGCAUCCUGGGUUAAUGCAGGAGCCGGUGGGUUACAUGGGGCUGAGCACAGGCCAAGGAGAGAGCACCACAGUUUCCACGUCAGACGCGGCCAGAGACCCUGAGCCGAGGGGGCGGACGUCCCUACACUGACGGCGGCUUCCUCCUCACAGCCGGCGGGUUCUCACUCAUGUCAGCGCCGUAGGGGACAGAUGCCAAAGGAACGGACCCGUGUGAGCGCCCAGGACGCAGGCGGAGUGUAAACCUCUGCUUCUCCCUCGGGGCCUCCUUGCCUGUCUCGGUUCCUCCCUGACUGCCCGCCCUGAGCCGCACAGCCUGAUGCUGGCAUCUCCACAGAAUUCUCUCAGGGGACAAAGCAGCACCUUGUGCGGACAGCCUACGUCUAUGACAGCGAGACAGACAGUGUCUCGGGCAGCUCUCUGUGAGAAGUCAGCCGCCCUGACCAGUGCUAACCGGCAGCUGAUGUCGGAGACAGACUCAGGAAGGGGAAUAUGAACAAACAUGGAAACAAACUCCAAAAAGCCACAGGCUGUGAGGCCUGGGCCACUCCUGACCAGUUCACAGAGGGUCUUCCUUGAAGGCGACAAUGCUGAUGCUCACAUCAUUCUCAGAGACACACGGAGCCACGGCUGUGUCCUGCCAUCUGUCUCUGGGUGCGAGAGGGUCGGGGUCUAGCUGGAACCUUCUCUAACCCCAGGAAACGCGCUGACUAGGAAGGGGAGUUUAACACCUGCAGGGUUUUAAGGCAAGAAAGGCCUGAGGAUGUAGAAGCUUCACAAGCAAUAUUACAACUUGAGUUCUGAAGGCACCUGGCGUUCCAUUGGUCACUUUCUGGAAUUUAUGUCAGGAGCAGACUCAAGGGCAUUUUACUGGAUUUAA